CCUACGGGAGGCAGCAGUAGGGAAUAUUGCUCAAUGGGGGAAACCCUGAAGCAGCAACGCCGCGUGGAGGAUGAAGGUUUUCGGAUUGUAAACUCCUUUUGUCAGAGAAGAAAAUGACGGUAUCUAACGAAUAAGCACCGGCUAACUCCGUGCCAGCAGCCGCGGUAAUACGGAGGGUGCAAGCGUUACUCGGAAUCACUGGGCGUAAAGAGCGCGUAGGCGGGAUAGCAAGUCAGAUGUGAAAUCCUAGGGCUUAACCAUAGAACUGCAUUUGAAACUGUUAUUCUAGAGUAUGGGAGAGGUAGGUGGAAUUCUGGGUGUAGGGGUGAAAUCCGUAGAGAUCAAGAGGAAUACUCAUUGCGAAGGCGACCUGCUAGAACAUAACUGACGCUGAUGCGCGAAAGCGUGGGGAGCAAACAGGAUUAGAUACCCUUGUAGUC
rnacentral:rRNA from 1 species